rnacentral:tRNA from 1 species
GCGAAUGUGGUGUAGUGGAAAACAUCAAGUCGUGCCAAGUCUUAGUCACGGGUUCGAAUCCCGUCAUUCGCU